rnacentral:rRNA from 1 species
AACACGUAGUAAUCUAACUCGAGGUGGUGGAUAACCUUCCCGAAAGGAGGGCUAAUACAGCAUGAGACCACGUUCUCGAAAAGAGGAUGAGGUAAAAGCGGCCAAUCUACAGAAGCUCGCGCCACGAGAUGAGCCUGCGGCCCAUCAUGGUAUUUGGUAGGGUAACGGCCUACAAGCCGAAAACAGGUACUGGUCUGAGAGGAUGAUCACCACGCUGGAACUGAACCGGUCCAACUCCUACGGGAGGCAGCAGUGGGGAAUCUUGCGCAAUGGGCGAAAGCCUGACGCAGCGACGCCGCGUGAGUGAUGAAGGCCUUCGGGUUGUAAAGCUCUGUGGAGGGGGACGAAUAAGGGUUGGCUAACAUCCAGCCUGAUGACGGUACCCCUUUAGCAAGCACCGGCUAACUCUGUGCCACAGCCGCGGUAAGACAGAGGGUGCAAAACGUUGUUCGGAAUUACUGGGCGUAAAGCGGCGUGUAGGCUGCUCGGAAAGUCGGAUGUGAAAAGCCCUGGGCUCAACCUAGGAAGUGCAUUCGAAACUUCCGAGCUGGGAGUGCUUGGAGAGGAAAGGCGGGAAAUUCUCGGUGUAAGGUGAAAUUC